GACGAACGCUGGCGGCGUGCUUAACACAUGCAAGUCGAACGGAAAGGCCCUGCUUUUGUGGGGUGCUCGAGUGGCGAACGGGGGAGUAACACGUGAGUAACCUGCCCUUGACUGUGGGAUAACUUCAGGAAACUGGGGCUAAUACCGGAUAGGAGCUCCUGCUGCAUGGUGGGGGUUGGAAAGAUUCGGCGGUUGGGGAUGGACUCGCGGGUUAUCAGCUUGUUUGUGGGGUAGUGGCUUACCAAGGCUUUGACGGGUAGGCGGCCUGAGAGGGUGACCGGCCACAUUGGGACUGCGAUACGGCCCAGACUCCUACGGGAGGCAGCAGUGGGGAAUAUUGCACAAUGGGCGGAAGCCUGAUGCAGCAACGCCGCGUGCGGGAUGACGGCCUUCGGGUUGUAAACCGCUUUCGCCUGUGACGAAGCGUGAGUGACGGUAAUGGGUAAAGAAGCACCGGCUAACUACGUG
rnacentral:rRNA from 1 species